GACGAACGCUGGCGGCGUGCCUAACACAUGCAAGUCGAGCGAAUGAAGUUCCUUCGGGACUGGAUUUAGCGGCGGACGGGUGAGUAACACGUGGGCAACCUGCCUCAUAGAGGGGAAUAGCCUUCCGAAAGGGAGAAUAAUACCGCAUAAGAUUGUAGUAUCGCAUGAUACAGCAAUUAAAGGAGCAAUCCGCUAUGAGAUGGGCCCGCGGCGCAUUAGCUAGUUGGUGAGGUAACGGCUCACCAAGGCGACGAUGCGUAGCCGACCUGAGAGGGUGAUCGGCCACAUUGGGACUGAGACACGGCCCAGACUCCUACGGGAGGCAGCAGUGGGGAAUAUUGCACAAUGGGGGAAACCCUGAUGCAGCAACGCCGCGUGAGUGAUGACGGCCUUCGGGUUGUAAAGCUCUGUCUUCAGGGACGAUAAUGACGGUACCUGAGGAGGAAGCCACGGCUAACUACGUG
rnacentral:rRNA from 1 species